GGAGUGGCCCCGGGAGUGUGGGAUAAAGUCUCAAUGUGUGCAUCAAAUCAAAAGCUGGCUUUACUUUUAGAUGAUGGAUACAGAUCUAUGUUAUGGCUACUGGACAAGAUAUAGAAAAGAGGAGGCCUCCAGUAAGGCACUCCCACAAGCCAGAGGCAGAGCAGCGAUUCUGCUGGAGCCGCCAGUUCCCUACCAAGGUUCCAAGAAUGAUGUGGCAGUACCCAUAGGAGAAGACUUUUGGUGUGGUACUAGAAAAAAUGCUCCAGCAGCAAAGGCGGAUGUUCCCAUCUGCAGGGCACUUAGAGCCCUCAGCAAUGGAGAAGAAGGAUGAGGAUGAAUUCCACAUGUCGGAUACUCCUGGCAGGAGACUUGACCAUACCUGGUGCCUCCGUGAGAGCUGCAGGACUGGAGACAGAGGAAGCCCUUUGGACAGGACUCGCUGCUCCCUCCGAGCCGCGGCUCUCAGCAGAACCGUGUCAUUGCUGAGGAUGCACCUGGCCAGGAGGAGCCUUGCAGAGGAAUAGGAGGCCAGCUCAUUGCAGUCAGGGAAUGGCUGACGGAUGUUUCCUAGCAGCAACUUUCCUGGAGGUGCCAGUUCCAGUCCGUGACUCGCAGGAUGCUGCGGCGCUGCCAUAGGAGAAGGCCUUUGGCAUGGUGCUAGAGAAGAUCCUCGAGCAGCAAAGGCAGAUGUUGGCAGCUCCAGGGAAUUCCCUGACGUCAGCAGUGGAGGAGCAGGAUGAGGAAGAUCUCCACACUUGGGAUACUUCUGGCAAGAGCCUCCAUCCCUGUCUGUCCUGGGUUGUAGUGUAUACUGUUACCAUCCUCAUGAGCUGUUGGAACCAGGUGGGGCAGUGUUUCCUUCCGUCCUGCCCCCGGUUGAUCUUUCUGUUAAUGGCCCAUCAUUGCCCUUCCGCAUGACUCAGAGAUAACUCUCCAUGGACUAUAUUUUGUAAUGAGCCUAUCAACACCUGGCCUCAUGACUCAUCAUCCCAUUGUGAGAUGCUCCACCUAGAGGG